ensembl:lncRNA
GGGAGUCAUAAGUAAUGACUCUGCAGAUGAACCAGUCUUAUUUUCAAAUAUGCAUCUGUGCAAGAUGGGUACAAUCUCUUCUGAAAUAGAGUAAUUACUGUCAUGUAGGAAACUAGGCCCCCAGUUUUCCUCCCUACUUGGUGUUCUCAGGCUCCAGAUAGGAUGAAGAGUUGCAGUAACAAGUCUUGCUUAAAUGAACUUGCUAUGGAGACUUUGUAAGAGUUGCAUGACAGUGUCUGCGUAUUACUGUAAGCCAACGUAGGCUUCUCACAAGAAAGAUACUGCUUCAUUUACUGCACAUCUUAGGAACUUCUGGAUUGAAAUGAAGAAAAUAAAAUUUAGAUUAAAUUUACCUUGUGGCAUUCUAUUAGCUCUACCUAUAAUGAUGUCCAACAGUGUCUCAUUGUUGAAAGUGAAUUGCAGGAAGAGAUUUUUGAGGAACAGUCCUGAGGACCAAGCUGUUCUAACAGCUCUGAAGCCAGGCUGGUGAAUUGAAUAAGCCCAAACCAGAGCAUGAAAAACUCAAGAUCCAGCAGAGAGGAGGAGCAGAAGAGAAGUUCAAUUCCCAUCUUUCAACCUCUCUGAUGUGUCAUUUCACCCCAAGUAAUAAAGACAUUUUACAUACUGAAAGUAAUGAUAUAUUAUGAAAAAUAGAAAAGAACUAAUCUUAUAAUCAUCUUUCUUUCUAACACUAGUUUGUUAGAAAAAUUCAUAAUUCCUGUUUUGUGAAAUUCUGGAAAGAGAUCAUGAUCUACUAUUAAGGGAAAGGAUUAUUUCCAAAUAUUCUUUGUGCUAUAUCCUUAAGUAUAGCAUAUGUCCAAAGACAGUGUUCAAAGAACGUAUGCCAG